rnacentral:rRNA from 1 species
GAUGAACGUUGGCGGUGUGCCUAAUACAUGCAAGUCGAACGGAGUUAAUAGCAAUAUUGACUUAGUGGCAACGGGUGAGUAACGCGUUGGUGAUCUGCCUUGAAGUGUGGAAUAACGCUCCGAAAGGAGCGCUAAUACCGCAUGUGCUCUCAAUUUUUAGAAACUUGAGAGGAAAGGAUUUAUUCGCUUCGAGAGGAGCCUGCGUCCCAUCAGCUGGUUGGUAGGGUAAAGGCCUACCAAGGCAAUGACGGGUAGGGGACCUGAGAGGGUGGCCCCCCACAAUGGAACUGAAACACGGUCCAUACACCUACGGGUGGCAGCAGUAGGGAAUAUUAGAAAUGGACGAAAGUCUGAUCUAGCAACACCGCGUGUGCGAAGAAGGCCUUCGGGUCGUAAAGCACUUUUUGGAAGGAAUAGGAAGGAAUGUACUUCCAGAAUAAGUCUCGGCUAACUACGUG